UUUUGGACAAUGGGCGCAAGCCUGAUCCAGCCAUGCCGCGUGAGUGAAGAAGGCCUUCGGGUUGUAAAGCUCUUUCGGUGAAGACGAAACGGUUAGUGCUAAUAACACUGACUAAUGACGGUACUCACAGAAGAAGCACCGGCUAACUACGUGCCAGCAGCCGCGGUAAUACGUAGGGUGCAGGCGUUAAUCGGAAUUACUGGGCGUAAAGCGUGCGCAGGCGGUUUGCUAAGACAGGUGUGAAAUCCCCGAGCUUAACUUGGGAAUUGCGCUUGUAACUGGCAAGCUAGAGUGUGGCAGAGGGGGGUGGAAUUCCACGUGUAGCAGUGAAAUGCGUAGAUAUGUGGAGGAACACCGAUGGCGAAGGCAGCCCCCUGGGUUAACACUGACGCUCAUGCACGAAG
rnacentral:rRNA from 1 species